rnacentral:rRNA from 1 species
GACGAACGCUGGCGGCGUGCUUAACACAUGCAAGUCGAACGGAAAGGCCCUGCUUUUGUGGGUUGCUCGAGUGGCGAACGGGUGAGUAACACGUGAGUAACCUGCCCUUGACUUUGGGAUAACUUCAGGAAACUGGGGCUAAUACCGGAUAGGAGCUCCUGCUGCAUGGUGGGGGUUGGAAAGUUUCGGCGGUUGGGGAUGGACUCGCGGCUUAUCAGCUUGUUGGUGGGGUAGUGGCUUACCAAGGCUUUGACGGGUAGCCGGCCUGAGAGGGUGACCGGCCACAUUGGGACUGAGAUACGGCCCAGACUCCUACGGGAGGCAGCAGUGGGGAAUAUUGCACAAUGGGCGGAAGCCUGAUGCAGCAACGCCGCGUGCGGGAUGACGGCCUUCGGGUUGUAAACCGCUUUCGCCUGCGACGAAGCGUGAGUGACGGUAAUGGGUAAAGAAGCACCGGCUAACUACGUG